GACGAACGCUGGCGGCGUGCUUAACACAUGCAAGUCGAACGGAAAGGCCCUGCUUUUGUGGGGUGCUCGAGUGGCGAACGGGUGAGUAACACGUGAGUAACCUGCCCUUGACUUUGGGAUAACUUCAGGAAACUGGGGCGAAUACCGGAUAGGAGCUCCUGCUGCAUGGGGGGGGUUGGAAAGUUUCGGCGGUUGGGGAUGGACUCGCGGCUUACCAGCUUGUUGGUGGGGUAGUGGCUUACCAAGGCUUUGACGGGUAGCCGGCCUGAGAGGGUUACCGGCCACAUUGGGACUGAGAUACGGCCCAGACUCCUACGGGACGCAGCAGUGGGGAACAUUGCACAAUGGGCGGAAGCCUGAUGCAGCAACGCCGCGUGCGGGAUGACGGCCUUCGGGUUGUAAACCGCUUUCGCCUGUGACGAAGCGUGAGUGACGGUAAUGGGUAAAGAAGCACCGGCUAACUACGUG
rnacentral:rRNA from 1 species